rnacentral:lncRNA from 1 species
AUGCGGUGGCUGCUGCUGGGUGUCUGUCUGCCUUUGCUCUUCCCCGCUCAGGGGGCGAGGAAGCAAAGAACAGCAGAGCCCAACGGGGUCAGCACCUGGACAGAACCACGGAUCCGCCAGGUCCAAUUUUGUUUUCAAAAGCAUCCCUCUCCAUUCCUCGCUCCUAGUUCUUUCUUCUUUCUUUCCCUGCUUUCUCCAGCCACGAUUACAUCUCUGAUUUUUCUAUCCCAGCGUCGCACUCGGACGGUGGACCAGACGCAGUACAAAGUUGGAGCGGAAAUGCGGUGUCCCGGGAAUCCCGCAGGCACAAAUAGCCCGGAUGCCGGUGCACAACAUUUCAGAGUAUCUCGUGAAGCCUUCGAAACUUUAUUCUAAAUUAUUUUCAAAGGGUCUGCCUUUGGCUUUCUGAGAAGUGCCUCGUGAAGAUUAGGAAUCCUGCAUUACAAGAUUAGUCUUUUAUUUGAGGGGAUAGGCACCAUGCUCCACAAUCCUACAAAAGAGCUGCAGAAGACUAAAAAAAGAAGUUCUUCGGAACUGUUCUGUGUGCUGUUGGCCUUGUGACACGCCUGUCUGUAACCAUUUAUCACUGGGACAUUUUCUCAUCAGUAGACAAAGGAUAUAUUCCCUACUUGGCGUGUAGGGCUUCAGCUGCUCAGCCUCAUGAAUGUUAAUGGGAAUACAACCUUCUUUCUGCAUAUAGGUUACUUUUCUAUUUUAAUGUCAAUGGGCAGUGGAAUCCUUGUGAGAGCCUGGGUGGUGAAGUUUCCAGCACUUGUAUACAACUGCUACCUGUAUCCUUUAUGCAUACUUUCUCAGUGAUGUCCACUUGCUCUUAAAUCAUGAUUUGUAUUUCACAAAAGUGCAGUAAUUAAAAUUCUUACCAAAAGGCCAUAAUAGAAUUAUAUUUUAUUAUUAAAAUAUACAAAGGAAGCAGUUAGCCGUGAAUUUUGGCUGCAUUCCAAAAAGCUGACCAGCAGGAACAACUACUUUGUCUUUAAAAAAAAGGAUGUCCUCAAUGCUCAGCAAAGCCAAAAAGAUUUUGAGUUUUUUGAGAUCUCAUCUGAUAUAGUUUCCAUUAAAAAGCUGUAGCUGAAAGACUGUUUAGAUUAUAGAAAUAUGUGUUUUUGUCACUAAUGGUUAGGUUUUGAGUUGCCCCAGAGUAAAAGCUGUGGAAAGGGUAUAAAUUGAUACAACCUGUUUGGGGUGUCAUUUGGAAAUAUAAUACCUAUCAAAGUCAGAAAUGGAUUGAACUUUUAUACUGCUAAGCAAUUACCUUGGAUUCACGUGUAGAUGUACGUGUGUAGGAGAUUUAACAGAUUAUUCAGGAAUGUUUAUCAAAAUAAGAGCCAAAAAAACAUUCUAAAUAUUCAUCAGUACCCAGCUAGAUAGUUCUGGUAUGUCAAGACAAUGCAGUAUUAUACUUUGGAUCAAAAGAAUGAGUUAGGGCUGGGGAUGUAGCUCAGUGGUGCUGCCGCCUCCCUCCCAAGCACAAGGGCCUGAGUUCGAUCCCCAGUACCAAAAAAAAAAAAAAGAGUUAAUCUUUAUUUGUUGUUUUAUUCAUUUGCUUAUCUAAAAAUUUUUGUGGAAAAAAAUGUAUAUACAGGAUCCUUGUUCUAGGCCCUGCAGAUACUGUGCUUAGAAAGUCAAAGUCCUUUAGCUAUGGAGUUUGCAUGACUGGAGGCACAGAGAAAGAUCUCCAAACAUAAUUUAAAGUUUAAAAAGUUAAUUACCAUAUAGGAGAUAUGAUGUUUUCCUUUUGGAAUAAAAGGUUAAAUUUUAUUCUUCCACCCCUCACACCUUUAUCUAUGCAGGAGUUGCAUUUAACUUUUCAUUCUGGACAGUUAGUCAAAGACUGUUACACAGUGGCUGCAAAGGACUAGAUGUGGCAGGAAGAAAGGCAGGAGAUAUUUCCUUUUCCUUUCAGGUAUCUCUGUAUAGAUUGAAUUUUGACCACUGCAUGCUUUUCUUGCUAUUAAAAAUAUUAAGAGUGAACACACUGCCAGAUCCUUUGGGCUAAGCAUUUAGCCCAGUGGUUCUGGUGCCUGCCACGCAAGCACAAGGUCCCAAGUUCGAUCCAUGGUACCGAAAAAAAGAAAAAAGAGUGAACAUGUUUUAUUUUUUGAUAACUGGCCUUGUUUUUUCAGUGUUAACCAUGCAUCUCUUUAUCAUUCCUGAGUCUGUUUGUACUUUGUGUUCAAGUAAUGAAUGCCUGGGGGAAAGACCCAGAUCAAUUCCUUUAGAAAUCAAAAAAGAAAGAGAACUUCAAUUCUUUUUACAUUUCUUCUUGAUUCCCUCUGACUUCUUUCAGUCUGGCUGUUUACUUUCUGACCCUUCCUCUGUCCUCUUUUCGCCCUUUACUUUCCCUAAUUUUACUUUCCAGAGCAAACCUAGGAAACACUGUUGUACUCUAAGGAAAUCCUUAAAGUAAUUUCAGAUGAAUUUGCAAUUGGAUUAUAGGGUGUACUCAUCUCUGUUCUUUAAACAAUCUACAAAUGGAGAGAAUUAUUGUGUCUCUACUCUAGAAGUCUUGGAAAAAUAGACUAAAUGAUUUAGAUCUAUUCUGUGCUAGCAGCUGUAUUGGAUGACCUCCCUACUUUUCUGUCACCAUGUGCUUUUAAACAUGGUGAUAUUAUAAUCACAGCUUUUCCAUAAUAUAGAUAAAAGGGAGCGUCAAAUAUAGCUUAGGAAUAAAGAGUUGCUCAUAGAUGCUCGUCAUUCAUUCAGGGAUAUUAAAUAUGACAUGAAAAUGACCAUCUCCAGUGACUCCACCAAUGCAAACUUUAUUAAGUGAAAGCUAGCCUCAUAUACACUAUUUUAAAUUCCUUAGCUGGGUAGUUAGUGCAUGCAGAAGGGAGUAGCUCUAUGCCUAUACUUAAGUAGACUGUAACUGGAAAUACUGUUUCACACAGUCUGUACCAUAAUGGUGGCUAUGAGGCAAAUUGGUGCGGGUGAAUGUGUCCAGAACCUGCAGCCUACUUGUGGGUGUACCUGCUCAUCCAAAUACUCAAGCUGGUCAGAAUCAGUCAAGUCCACUGCACUGAAAAAACACGAGACAUGACCCAGUCUGGAAUUGGGUGAGGGCAGAAGGUGAUCACCCAGAGGGAAGAACAAGUAGGAAAGAAUGCAGAAGGUGGACAGAGUUUGUAGGUCUUCAGUUGUAUACUCACAGAGUCUGGAAAGUUAGGAAUGGAAGAGUACAUAAGAAGAACAGAAGAGGCCACAGCAUCUUCUUAUUCUGUUCUAGGUCUUUCCAGAUAGUUAGGGACCACUUCUGUGAUAGUCCUCAGCUUCACCAACAGUAUCUGAAAAGCCAAACAAGAACUUGAAAAGCAGUUUCCUUGCCUAUAUUAAAAAUCGUAGAAUAGUGAGGUGUCCAUACCUCAGGUGAAGGUGGUGUUUAUCAGGCAAAAUAAAGACAGAAAUGACAUCUGUUCAGUGGCCAAAUAUUAAGCAGCUUGAGGCUUAGGGAUGUGCAUGAACAAACAGGUCCAAAUUGUUGCUUUGUGGAGCUUACAUUCUUGGGCUGGAAGAUGCAUAAAAUUAUACAAGUAAAUGAAACACUAAUGUGUUAGAUGCUGGUAGUGGAUGGAUGGAUGGAAAUUAAGUAGGAGAGGACAGGAAAUCUGAGGCAGCCAUGUAGACCAUGGCAAGGACUUAGGCUUUCACUCUGGACAAGACAGGAAAUCAGUGGAGGUGGUCGAGCAAAAUACAACAUAAUCUACCUUUUCCAAGGGUCCCUAGGAGGAUUAGAAUGGAAGCUGGAGGGUAGCUUAGGAGACAGCUGGAGCAAGAACCCAGGCUGAUGUGGAUUAAAAACACUUGAUUUUAAAACAUUUUUUCAAAGCCCCCAAUUCCACAAGGGUGUUCAGUUUUGUUUUUAAGAAACGUUUUUCAUGGGCUGGGGGGUGUAGCAUUUGCUUAGUGUGCACAAAGCCCCCAGUUUGAUCCCCAGUGCUAUAAACAAAGCCAAACAAAAUGAAGAUUUUCACCAGUUCUUUCUUGCAUGCAUAGAUAGUGCCUCUGUACCUAGGAUCUCCUUUCCCUAUGCAUUCUAAACAAGAGAAAUUUACUGCUCAGUAACUGUUGGGUCUAAGGACUUUCCCUUCUCCUUUCUCACUCUGUUUUCUUUCAUUUAUAGUUAAGGUUGAGUGGAAUUUUUUCCCCUUCCUCGCAAGCUUUAAUCCUUAUCUGGCUUCUAAAUCCCUUCAGAAUUAUUUGCAGCAAAGAAUGCCUGCUGGCUUCAAAGCAUGUUUCACUCUUGGAUGUACUCCAUGGGAUACACAGCAAAAGUAGUGAAGCCUUCCCUCCUCCCAUGAAAACUAGUGAAUCUGACAAUGAUACAUGCUGAUCAAUGAGCAGCCUGUUAAGAAAAAAAUGUAUAGAAAGUCAUUUCUUUGAUUUGCUGUUUUGAAAAGGACAUGUUUUCCUUUGGAGUGAUUUUCACUUCUAAAUCUAAUCUAUUAUUUUGUAGGAGAAACAAUUUGUGUUAACUGGAACUUGAUUAACUUCCUUGUAAUACUCUGUCCUUAAGCUCAUGCUGAUGAUUUGGUUAGAUAGCACAACAUCAAUAAGUGAAUGUUUGUUUUAUAAAAGUUUCUAAAUCUUAGUAUUUUAAUCAUUUCUUUGAAAGAUAAAAAUUUUACUGUAUCAGUACACUAAAGAAAAUUUCUUGGGUGUUACUUUUGGUUUUGUGAAAGAUAUUUGCAUAGGUUUUAUAAUUAAUGCUGAUGGUGAAGAAAACAUUAGUUUCAGAAACAUGGUUUUUUUGGUAUAAAAAUACUGUGGUUGCUGCUAAGGCAAAACCAUAAU